rnacentral:rRNA from 1 species
AACGAACGCUGGCGGCAGGCCUAACACAUGCAAGUCGAGCGCCCCGCAAGGGGAGCGGCGGACGGGUUAGUAACGCGUGGGAAUGUACCCUUUUCUACGGAAUAGCCUCGGGAAACUGAGAUUAAUACCGUAUACGCCCGGUAACGGGGAAAGGAUUUAUCGGAGAAGGAUCAGCCCGCGUAAGAUUAGGUAGUUGGUGGGGUAAGUGGCCUACCAAGCCUACGAUCCAUAGCUGGUUUGAGAGGAUGAUCAGCAACACUGGGACUGAGACACGGCCCAGACUCCUACGGGAGGCAGCAGUGGGGGAAUCUUAGACAAUGGGGGAAACCCUGAUCUAGCCAUGCCGCGUGAGUGAUGAAGGCCUUAGGGUCGUAAAGCUCUUUCGCUGGGGAAGAUAAUGACUGUACCCAGUAAAGAAACCCCGGCUAACUCCGUGCCAGCAGCCGCGGUAAA